rnacentral:rRNA from 1 species
GACGAACGCUGGCGGCGUACUUAACACAUGCAAGUCGAACGGAAAGGCCCUGCUUUUGUGGGGUGCUCGAGUGGCGAACGGGUGAGUAACACGUGAGUAACCUGCCCUUGACUUUGGGAUAACUUCAGGAAACUGGGGCUAAUACCGGAUAGGAGCUCCUGCUGCAUGGUGGGGGUUGGAAAGUUUCGGCGGUUGGGGAUGGACUCGCGGCUUAUCAGCUUGUUGGUGGGGUAGUGGCUUACCAAGGCUUUGACGGGUAGCCGGCCUGAGAGGGUGAUCGGCCACAUUGGGACUGAGAUACGGCCCAGACUCCUACGGGAGGCAGCAGUGGGGAAUAUUGCACAAUGGGCGGAAGCCUGAUGCAGCAACGCCGCGUGCGGGAUGACGGCCUUCGGGUUGUAAACCGCUUUCGCCUGUGACGAAGCGUGAGUGACGGUAAUGGGUAAAGAAGCACCGGCUAACUACGUG